UAGGGAAUCUUCCACAAUGGACGCAAGUCUGAUGGAGCAACGCCGCGUGAGUGAAGAAGGUUUUCGGAUCGUAAAGCUCUGUUGUUGGUGAAGAAGGAUAGAGGCAGUAACUGGUCUUUAUUUGACGGUAAUCAACCAGAAAGUCACGGCUAACUACGUGCCAGCAGCCGCGGUAAUACGUAGGUGGCAAGCGUUGUCCGGAUUUAUUGGGCGUAAAGCGAGCGCAGGCGGAAUGAUAAGUCUGAUGUGAAAGCCCACGGCUCAACCGUGGAACUGCAUCGGAAACUGUCAUUCUUGAGUGCAGAAGAGGAGAGUGGAAUUCCUUGUGUAGCGGUGGAAUGCGUAGAUAUAUGGAAGAACACCAGUGGCGAAGGCGGCUCUCUGGUCUGCAACUGACGCUGAGGCUCGAAAGCAUGGGUAGCGAACAGG
rnacentral:rRNA from 1 species